CCGGUGGCUCUCUCUCUUUCCAARGACCCUUAAGUUCGAAGAGACGUCUCUGGAUUAUUGAAAAGAGAUGGGAUUUCCAGCUGCUGUUUAAACUUCCCACAUAACUCCUUCCAUGGAGAUACUAUUGAUGGCAUUAAUAUAUAUACACAGGAGGAACAGGAACAGUCUGAAGAAUGCCACAGCACAAGCAUGAGGAAGGAGCUCAUCACCUAUGCAGCUGGCAGACACAGAUGAAUAAAUUGAAGCCUAAAAAGCCACCACGUUAGCAGCUUCCUCCACCAGAUGUCCUACCAAGAUAUAUUACCUUGCCAGAAGCCCAAAAGCAAUGAGACAACUAGUCAUGGACUGAAACCUCUAGAACUUUG